rnacentral:rRNA from 1 species
UGGAUCCAGACUUUGAUUCUGGCUCAGGACGAACGCUGGCGGCGUGCCUAACACAUGCAAGUCGAACGGGGUCGGCCCCUUCGGGGACUGACUUAGUGGCGAACGGGUGAGUAACGCGUGAAUAACCUGCCUUUCAGUGGGGGACAACAGUUGGAAACGACUGCUAAUACCGCAUGAUACUUUUAGGGGGCAUCCCCUGAAAGUCAAAGCUUUAUGUGCUGAAAGAUGGAUUCGCGUCUGAUUAGCUAGUUGGCGGGGUAACGGCCCACCAAGGCGACGAUCAGUAGCCGGUCUGAGAGGAUGAACGGCCACAUUGGGACUGAGAUACGGCCCAGACUCCUACGGGAGGCAGCAGUGGGGAAUAUUGGGCAAUGGGGGAAACCCUGACCCAGCAACGCCGCGUGAAGGAAGAAGGCUUUCGGGUUGUAAACUUCUUUUACCAGGGACGAAGGACGUGACGGUACCUGGAGAAAAAGCAACGGCUAACUACGUGCCAGCAGCCGCGGUAAUACGUAGGUUGCAAGCGUUGUCCGGAUUUACUGGGUGUAAAGGGCGUGUAGGCGGAGAAGCAAGUUGGGAGUGAAAUUCAUGGGCUCAACCCAUGAACUGCUCUCAAAACUGUUUCCCUUGAGUAUCGGAGAGGCAAGCGGAAUUCCUAGUGUAGCGGUGAAAUGCGUAGAUAUUAGGAGGAACACCAGUGGCGAAGGCGGCUUGCUGGACGACAACUGACGCUGAGGCGCGAAAGCGUGGGGAGCAAACAGGAUUAGAUACCCUGGUAGUCCACGCUGUAAACGAUGAAUACUAGGUGUGGGGGGACUGACCCCCUCCGUGCCG